UGCGGCAAAGGAACCUCUUUCCUUGCCGUGGCUAACCCUUGUUCCUCCUCUUCAAUUAUCACUUCCUCCACUUUGUUUGGGGCUGAUUUGGAUGGUGGUGGGGCUGUUCCAACUUGUUUCCCACUUCUUAACAUGAUUGCUUUGGCAGAUUCAAAGCCUCCUUUUGGAUUUGCAAUGGUUGAGCUAGGCAACCUGCCUUGCUCUCGAAACUGCCCCAUGAACUCGG
rnacentral:lncRNA from 1 species